CUUGAAUGAUUAGUUCCGGUGAGAAAGCUGUCCGGAAUCUAAGGAGAGCAGAGGUGUGAAUUUUCUUUCCUGUUUUGGGCUACUUAUAUGUACACACACACACACACGGUGUUUUUGAUUGGUUAUUGCGAUGCGAUGGCUUCCUUUUGGUGCCAUCUUCGUCAUCUUAAAUCACUGUAUGGGAAGUUAUUGAAAUGACAGCUUUGCCCUUCUGGUCAUUUAGUCCGG
rnacentral:misc_RNA from 1 species